rnacentral:rRNA from 1 species
GGAUCUCUUAAAGCUGUUCUCAGUUCGGACUGCAGUCUGCAACUCGACUGCACGAAGCUGGAAUCGCUAGUAAUCGCGGAUCAGCACGCCGCGGUGAAUACGUUCCCGGGCCUUGUACACACCGCCCGUCACACCAUGGAAGUCUGCAAUGCCCGAAGCCGGUGGCCUAACCACUUAUGUGGAAGGAGCCGUCUAAGGCAGGGCAGAUGACUGGGGUGAAGUCGUAACAAGGUACC